UGGGGAAUAUUGCACAAUGGGCGCAAGCCUGAUGCAGCAACGCCGCGUGAGGGAUGACGGCCUUCGGGUUGUAAACCUCUUUUAGCAGGGAAGAAGCGAGAGUGACGGUACCUGCAGAAAAAGCACCGGCUAACUACGUGCCAGCAGCCGCGGUAAUACGUAGGGUGCAAGCGUUAUCCGGGAUUAUUGGGCGUAAAGAGCUCGUAGGCGGUUUGUCGCGUCUGCUGUGAAAACCCGAGGCUCAACCUCGGGCCUGCAGUGGGUACGGGCAGACUAGAGUGCGGUAGGGGAGAUUGGAAUUCCUGGUGUAGCGGUGGAAUGCGCAGAUAUCAGGAGGAACACCGAUGGGCGAAGGCAGAUCUCUGGGCCGUAACUGACGCUGAGGAGCGAAAGGGUGGGGAGCGAAACAGGCUUAGAUACCCUGGUAGUCCACCCGUAAACGUUGGGAACUAGUUGUGGGGUCCAUUCCACGGAUUCCGUGACGCAGCUAACGCAUUAACG
rnacentral:rRNA from 1 species